GGGCAUUCCUCCCGGUGGAGACUCUCACUCAGCAUCAUUUCCCACUUAUUGCACCUGCGCGUGUUAGGACGGCUGAAAUCAGAUAUUAUAACGCCGCCGCUGCACAGGCCCGAGGAGGAUUCUGAGCGGAAUUAGGGCCGUAAUUACGGAGACAAAUCAGAGUUUAUCCCAACUGUGGGAAAAGCGGGGAACCAAUUUCUAGACAUAUUAAAAGAAUGAGUCAGCGCGUUGCAUGCCGAUCUGUGGAGAUGUGGUGGAAUUGUGGUAGUGAUUCGCUGUUAUGGUGAUGUUUUUGUAAUUUUUCCACCUUUUGCAUAUUUAAUGAUUGGUAAUUUGAGUUUCCACACAGGUAGGUCAACAGAAGGAGUGUAGGAGCCCAUAAUGUGAGGACUGGACCCGUUCUCACAACGGGACUUUAGUUUGUUUGUGUCUGCAGAGAUGCUGCAUUUGAUUUCUUUGCUCUCGUUACUUUCCACCAAGGGCGUCACGCUUUCGGGCUUUGUCUUUUUUGUUUGGUUCGCAGGAGAUCACAAAAACUUGCCGAACGCAUUUCGCUGACAUUUCGUAGGACUUGUGUUGCUGAAACACACCUGUCUUUGGAAGGCGCGGCCUUGAGCAAACCUUCGCGUCGAGCGCUUUCGCGUUAUUGCCACCGUUAUUUUCUGAACGUUCGGGACAUUCCUGACUUUUCUGCAGAGAGUAGGGGUGGAAGCAGCAGCAGCAGCAGCAGCAGCAGCAGCAGCAGCAGCGCUCGUCUCCAAAGCCACCGCUCCACAUCAGACAGUUUGUACAAAGCUGCUGUAAAGUCUCUUGGUUGAACUUUUAUGUUUUGAGAUGCGCCUGCACUUCACCAAAUCGAUUCCUCUUCCAAAGUAACAGUCGCACGCCGUCGGCGAUACGCCGCGGGAGCAGCGGGAAGCGCUUCUGCUCCGGGAAGGAUGUCCUUCUGGCUGCGAACGCCGAGACGGAGCGCGGCGUCGGGAGGAAAAACCCCGCGCGGACGACGCGACGACACGGGGCCCGAGAAGCGCCGGCGCCGGUCAGUUUCCCGCCGGGCGCCGGAGAUGCCAUGUUGGACGUGAUUGAGGCAGUCAGCUGUCAAGACAAAAAGCUAAAAGUCAGCUGGCGUCGAUAAAAUAUUCAUGUCCUUAAAAAAUGGCGUCACCAUUUCAGCCACUAAAAUAUUAAAAUGAGCAGCACAGUGAA
rnacentral:lncRNA from 1 species